GACGAACGCUGGCGGCGUGCUUAAUACAUGCAAGUAGAACGCACAGUUUAUACUGUAGCUUGCUACACCAUAGACUGUGAGUUGCGAACGGGUGAGUAACGCGUAGGUAACCUGCCUGGUAGCGGGGGAUAACUAUUGGUAACGAUAGCUAACACCGCAUGAUAUUAAUUAUUGCAUGAUAAUUAAUUGAAAGGAGCAAUUGCACCACUACCAGAUGGACCUGCGUUGUAUUAGCUAGUAGGGGAGGUAACGGCUCACCUAGGCGACGGUGCAUAGCCGACCUGGGGAGGAGGACCGGCAACAUGGGACUGGGACCCCGCCCAAGCCCCCACGGGAGGGAACAGUAGGGGAUCUUCGGCAAUGGGCGAAAGUCUGAACGAACAAAGCCGGGGGGGGGAAGGAGGUUUUCGGGUCGUAAAGCUGUGUUGUAAGGGGAGGAAGGGUUUUGGGGUGGAAAGUUCACGCGAUGACGGUAUCUUACCAGAAAGCAACGGCUAACUACGUG
rnacentral:rRNA from 1 species